GACGACCCUACGGAAAGUGCCACAGAAACAUACCGUCCUUCCCUCUGGGAAGGAUAAGGGUGAAAUGGCGAGGUAAGAGCUCACCAGCGGCCGGGUGACCGGUCGGCUGGGCAAACCCCAUCCGGAGCAAGACCGAAUAGGGGGAUAUAUGGGAUGUCCGGCCCAGUCCCCGGGUUGGUCGCUUGACCCCAGAGGUAACUCUGGGGCUAGAUAGAUGGUCACCGUUCGCCUUCGGCGAAUACAGAACUCGGCUUACAAGUUUACUUAACCC
rnacentral:RNase_P_RNA from 1 species